UGGAGACGCCAGUCAGUGCCACAGUCGGAGGAGAGGAUCUAUGCGCCAGCCCUUUCGAAAUGUUGCCAGUGCUGUGCUUGAGCUCCUGGUUAUGAGCAGUGAACGAAGCCAAAGGUCUGCAUGACCCAUGGAAGAGGAGAAACUACUGGCAACAGCAGGCCAGGCAGGCUGCUCUGCAGGUGUUGGAUACCAGUCUUGGCCUCAAUCCGUAACUAUCUGUGUGAACUGGACAAGCCCAUCAAUUCCUUUGUGUCUCAGUUGAUUAAUCUAUAAAAUGAGAAGAAUAAUGUGUAA